AACGAACGCUGGCGGCAUGCCUAACACAUGCAAGUCGAACGAGACCUUCGGGUCUUUUCGCGCCCGGCUUCGUAACGCGUCGGAACCUUCCCAUAGGUUCGGACUAACUCCCCGAAUGGGGUGCUAAUACGGGAUAAUGUCUUCGAACCAAAGAUUUAUCGCCUUAGGAUGGGCCCGCGUUGGAUUAGCUUGUUGUUACGGUAAUAGCCUACCACGGCGCCGAUUCAUAGCUUGUCUGAGAGGCUGAUCAGCCACACUGGGACUGAGACACGGCCCAGACUCCUACGGGAGGCAGGAGUGGGGAAUAGUGGAAAAUGGGCGAAAGGAUGAUGCAGCAAGGCCGCGAGAGUGAUGAAGUUCUGAGGGAUGUAAAGCUCUAUUAACCGGGAAGAUAAUGACGGUACCGGGAGAAAAAGCGCCGGCUAACUACGUG
rnacentral:rRNA from 1 species